GACGUAGGGCGCGAGCGUUGUCCGGAUUUAUUGGGCGUAAAGAGCUCGUAGGCGGCUUGUUGCGUCGACCGUGAAAACCCGUGGCUUAACUGCGGGCUUGCGGUCGAUACUGCCGUGCUUGAGGACUGGAGAGGAGACUGGAAUUUACGGUGUAGCGGUGAAAUGCGUAGAUAUCGUAAGGAAGACCAGUGGCGAAGGCGGGUCUCUGGACAGUUCCUGACGCUGAAGCACGAAGGCCAGGGGAGCAAACGGG
rnacentral:rRNA from 1 species